rnacentral:lncRNA from 1 species
CCCACCUCAGCGCCCCGCCCCCCAUCUCCAAGACCUCCCUUCGGCCGCACCCAACCCCACUCCCUCUGGCAGCUCCCCUGCCCCAAGGCUGCUCUGGGCCUGAUUCUCCCUGGACCCGCUCAGCUCUGCUCUGCUCUGCCGUCUGCCCUUGAAGAGCUUCCUCCUGCUUCCGGGUCGGUCUCUGUGCCCAGGGAAUGCCUCUCUUUCUAAAGAUGUGUUUAUCAGUGUGACAUCUGUGACGGAGUCCAGCUCCAAGCUCCCCAGGGAGCUGGAUUCACACAUCUGCAAACCCAAGGGAACUUGCUUCGGAAGACAGGAGAGUGUUUCUCAUGAAUCCCGACUCCAGCAGCCGCCUCCCCUUCUCCCCAGCCUCACAGCGGGGCCUUGAGCUCCUGAUCUCACAGCAGAUGGGGGGGGCCCUGCUGUUGUCUAUUUUUUCCAGCAGCAGGAAGAGACAAGGUCCAAACGCCAGCGAGUGCCCACAGUGGGAUCUGUCCCUGACGAGUUGUCCGCGAGCCUGUUUUACGCUGCCUAUAACACAGUGCCACACACUGGAAGAGGCAAAAAGCCCUGGACGCACCUUGUGGGUUCCAGGGAGUGACUCAGGAUGCACAGAGCAGAGCCUGGGGCCAGAAGGACAAGGGGCGGCCUUCCCGGCAUCCAUGCAGCUCCGAGGCCUGCAAGGUCCCACCCCAGGGCACUCCACCCACCUGAGAGUGGAAAGCGGCCCCAACUGAGGUGGCCAAAGGAGAUGGCCUGUCAUCUGAAAGGCUGGUGACAUGCGAUUGUGGCCCUCCCUCUCAUCACGUGCAAAUCUGGUGUCCAGGGACCUGGCUGUGAGGAUCCUGCCCUCGUGCAUGGGACGAAGACGGCCCCAGAAGAGCCACUGGAGGAGCACUCAUCCCUCUUUGCUACAAUUUUUAUUUUUUUAUUAGGCAUUGUUUGCAGUACAUACAUUCCUCAUGGGGAGCUGGUGUGAGGACAUGCAUCUUAGUUCUUUUUCACCCUUUCCCCUGCCCUCCCUUCCCCGGCCCUCCUCUUGUUCCCUUCCCAUUUGAGAAAGAUCUAGCUCCUUGUUUCCUAGCAUCUGCCUUUUAUUUUACUCCUAACUUAUAUUUUGGGUGUCUCAUAUAAGAGAAACCAUGUGAUAAACCAGCUUGUGUGUGUCUGGUUUAUUUCACAUAACGUUAUGGUCUCGAGGCGCAUCUGUCUUCCUACAGAGGACUCAGGAUGGGGAGGACUCUGGGAACUGAACUUGGGCUCCACAAGAAGUAACCUGACUCCCCUUUUGCCCCAUGCCUCCUGGGGACAGGAGGAAAAGGCUCCCGUGGCAGCCUCUCCAUGAGGGACUUCCGCCUCUGGAGCUGGGGGAAAUGAGUCUCUAUGCUUCAUCAGAAAUUCUGUCAUAGUGACACGGUCACACCACGAAAGGAGGUAAAUCGUUUCCUUGACCUUUUUUUUUUUUUGGUGCCGGGGAUCGAACUCGGGUCCUGGUACUUGCGCAGCAGGCAGCAAAACCAAACCAUUUCUUUUUUAAAAAAAUGAGUCAUGGUUCUUUCACAUCUAAUAGGUAGUCCAUGUUUGAUUUUCUUCCAUUCCUUCAAAAAGUUUUACACCUUUAAAUAUUUUUAGUGAAUUAUUACAAAAAUACAGCAAAAGCAACAGCUUAGAAAAUGGUCAUGUGAUGACAGUCAGAUAAAACACAGGACCUGGCUGGCACUGAGAAGUUUCCAGUUACUAAGUGCACACCUGCCUCCAGGAAACUGGGCAUUCUACUGAUAGAGCAGUAAGGCAUGCCCUUGCCUGGCCUCCAUGGUUUUUUCCCCCCCAAAAUGUUUUGUUCUGGAAAUGUAACACUUUGUUCUGUGCUGCUCCUCCCCAAUGUAUCUAAAUGUUUUGUAACUGAACUUUGUGACCUUUCUAGAACAUUCUGUCAGCUCUACCCCUUUCAGGAAUGUUCUGUAACUCCGCCCCCCUGCUUUAGUGAGCAUGCUCACCUACCUGGUAGAUCCCAUAGAAGGAGGCUCCCAUUUCUGGUGAAGUGCUCAAACUUCAGAGUACGAAAUCCUCUGAGCCUGUCUGCCUCUUCCAGUGACCUUUGGAUUCUCGAGUGUUCAAAUUGUUGUAACACUGAGCCAUAGCAGUCGGCUGUGCCUCAGAGCUGUGGCACUUGGCUGUAGCAUUGAGCUGCUCCACUUUGCCACAACACUAUCGU